rnacentral:rRNA from 1 species
UAGAGUUUGAUCAUGGCUCAGAUUGAACGCUGGCGGUAUGCUUAACACAUGCAAGUCGAACGGAAACGACAAGAGCUUGCUCUUGGGCGUCGAGUGGCGGACGGGUGAGUAACGCGUAGGAAUCUGCCUAGUAGUGGGGGAUAGCCCAAGGAAACUUGGAUUAAUACCGCAUAAUAUCUAUGGAUUAAAGUGGAGGAUCUUCGGACUUCACGCUACUAGAUGAGCCUGCGUAAGAUUAGUUAGUUGGUGAGGUAAAAGCUCACCAAGGCGACGAUCUUUAGCUGGUCUGAGAGGAUGAUCAGCCACACUGGGACUGAGACACGGCCCAGACUCCUACGGGAGGCAGCAGUGGGGAAUAUUGGACAAUGGGGGCAACCCUGAUCCAGCAAUACCGCGUGUGUGAAGAAGGCCUGAGGGUUGUAAAGCACUUUCAAUUGUGAAGAAAAGUUAAGGAUUAAUACCCCUUAGCCU